GUCAGGCCGAUGGUGUGGACUUCACAGACCACGUCUCUUCCUGUGGAUUCCCACAGCUCACCUGUGGCCCGGUGAACUCUUACGUGCUACCCGAUGUAGAAAACAGCAGAAUGAGGAUGCUGAGGUGGGGACCGGGAGGGAGCCCCAGAAGGGGUUCCCUCUGGAAAGCCACACAUCUAGCAUCUCGCAGCUCGGAGCUCGCUUCGAAGCACACUGCCGUUCGUCUGUGUAUGUGUCGUUCGCUUCUCCCCGACAGCACGACAGCUCCCCGAGGGCCGUGUCGGUGGUCAAGCCGCGGUGCCAAGUCAAGGUCCAGAACCUGGACCCCAGACCAGGAACCUCAGCCUCCACGGAGCUUCCCUUCUCCCACUUGUGGACGCCUGGACUUGGCCCAUCUUCAUCGCCUGCACGCCUUUAUGGCAGGUGGGGAAGGAGGCCCGCAUGUACAACUUAAGAAAAGCAACAACAACAACCACCACCAAACAAAGAACAGCACACAUGAGAACUCAUUUUUGUUGUGGAAAAAUGGAAUGUUCAGAUGAACAGGAAGAAGACAAUAAAAUUUUCUCUCAAUUUCA
rnacentral:lncRNA from 1 species